CAAUUAUUUAUGUAGUUGUGCACAUUCUUUAGUCUGUGUCUGUCUGUGUUUGUCUGCUUAUGACUUCAGACUAAUGCUAGUUCUGCACAGAAUUUAAUUGUAGACAAAAGCUCAAAAUACGUAGAUAGAGGGUCAGAUAGAUAAAUAAAUAAACAUAUUAUCUCAGAAUAACUACAUCAAUAUCAAGAGUAAAGCCCCUUUUGUCACUGCAUAUGCAGCAGCUCUGUAGAGAAUAGCCUGUUCUUUGUUGCCAUCCAAGGAGACAUCAUUUUAUUCGACACCCAUGGAGCUGCACAAAUAAGAGUCAGCAGGCAUCAAGCCAUCCUCCUGGAAAAAAAAUUGGCAUCUCCCUCUCUGGCACAUCUGGUUUAAUCCUAUUUGGCAUUGGCUGUGCAGUAAACAAUGCUGUGGAAGUUGGAAAUGAAAAGUAGAAGAAUGUGGGAAGGCGCUGAACAGAAGCAGAGGAAGAGACGCACAUAGUUAAGACACUUCGCUCUGGAGCAGCUGGAUAGCACAGUGGCAUAGGACUCACAAGUUGCAAGAAAGGCUGUUCCCCUUUAAAUGGAUUGAAUCAGGCAGGACUGCAGGGAGAGACCCGCAACAAACUCUCAGAUACCCUAUUAAGUGGGCUUGGUUGAAACCUCAUCUCACCAAUGAGCUAUGGAAGUACUACAUCUUUCUGAGGAAGAAGCUCGUCAUUUGCCUUCACAAAGCAAGUUAAAAUGGCACGAAGAAUCAGGAAACUUGUCAGCUGAGUUUUUACUUACCCUGUGAGACCAUUCUUUAGGAAAAAGUAUCUUGCAGGAUUUCUUGCCCUGGGAUGUUCCAAAGACCAGUGCCUUCUUCAAGAAUACUUACUUCAUUGUAUCAUCUAUCACUAUGGCACUAUGUGACACCAGGAGAGAUACUGCAACUGCUGUUUCAAUACCAAGAAAUCAUGUCAAAAUGAACAAACAAAUCAAAUGAAAAGGUUCUCCAGUGGUUCUUGUACCAAAAGAAGAGCCCUAUCCUUGCUCAGGUUUUGGAAGAUGAGAAGUGAGCAGUAUGAACUUGAAGAAUGAGCUUGAUCAGAGAGAGGCAUUUGCCUGUGAGCCAGAACCAGGCUCCUGCCAUCUGCACCCAGCGCAGCAUUGAUGCCAAGUGGAGGCUGUUUCCCUGUCCCUGGCUGAAGUCAUUGCAUUGAAGGGCCUAAAACUUCUGGGCACUCUAUAGGCAAUUGAUGGACAUGAUAUAAAUACUCUGUGUGAUUUAGGCUGCAUUAUGCCAAUUAUGUUAAUUCAUGGUCUGAUUUUCAGGAUCAAAACUGCAUAUGUCCUUCCAGUAAGGCUGUCUGUAAGGUCUAAUUCCAGGUUUUGAACCUUUCUCCAGAUGACUAGGGUCAUAAAUACAUAGCAUCAAGUUUCUAAUUCUACAAUAUUAAGUUCCUAAUACACUGCAAAGCUCUUGAAAAUGUUGUCUGUGGGUUUUGCUUAAUAUGUGAGACCUAUUUGAAAAUGCUGGCAAUAUGUUUACGCUUGAAUUACAUUCUCCUUCAUGAGUUGUGCAAUUUGAGUUGCCUGAGCGUCUUCUUUCUUUCUUUAAUAAACCUGUUUUAUUGAAAUGAAGAUCAUGAAAUAGGAAGGGAGGCUCAAAAGAUAUUUAAAAGUGACCUACUGCUAAUGAUAUCAGGUACAUAAACUUUUAUAGAAGGCUUUCACUCACACAUGAAUCACUGGUGCUUGCUGCAUGCUAGGUAAAAAAAUCAGACGUGGUAUACAUUGCAAAAACUGUGGAAAGGAAGCAUUUUAUUCUUUGUUAUUAUGAUUUCCCCAUUUAUAAGGAUGCUGAAUACAAAUCAUUACACAUCCAUGAAUGUCAG
ensembl:lncRNA